rnacentral:sRNA from 1 species
CCAUAGCCCCGAUUGCAGUGGAAAUCCUUUUUUGCGUAAACUUCGAGUUCAACUUAAUGCCAAUUGUCUGCAAAAAAGAUUGCAACGGAAAGCGGGAAAUAGC